rnacentral:rRNA from 1 species
GCUGUCCGGACAACAAACCACAAAUAUAUCCUACUAAAUAAACAAAACAUUUGACCAACCCAGUAGAUGCGAUCGAACAGUCAAAAGUCACAAUCAAAGUACCGCAAGGGAACUAUCACCAAGCAAAAAAUAGCAAAGACUAACCCUUGUACCUUUUGCAUCAUGGUUUAGCAAGAACAUAAGGACAAGAAGAAUCAUAGCCCACCCCCCGAAACCGAACGAGCUAUUUUUAAGCAGUCUUACGGACGCACCCUUCUAUGUAGCAAAAUNNUGGGAAGACCUAAAAAUAGAGGU